UGUUUUUUCAUUAGCCCCGAAUGUUUUCAACCAACAAAAAAAAAAGAUUUGGUACACAAGUGGUUAACACCUCCAGGUCGCACGUGACGUCAUUCACCCAAAACAGCGGAGUCAGGACUGGCAGCAGGCGCACGUAACAGCAAGCUGCUGUCUGAGUGUUUCUAUGUCUACACAUUUCGCUGCUUCACUCCUCUGGGCUAAGCCCAGCGCCGCCGCUCCCAUAACGCGCAUCGCUCUGCCGUGAUACGCGCCGACACAUCCGCGCACACAGACAUUAUAAUCCAACUUGGAUGGAAAAACUUCGUGACCUUAAUGACACCCAGCAACACGGUGAGAUUAUAAUCCAUUUAAAUGCCAGAAGCAAGCAAUUAUUUGUUUUUAAGAUGUUUUUUUCUUUAUUUGUGUUAGAGCUAGAGACACACAAGCACCACAGGGGAGGAUCUGCAGCAAAGGGACCACCGGAAAUCAAACCUUGGCCGCCAUGAUGACGACAUGUGGCACUUGAGUGUGAAUCUAGCCUUUUCAUUUUUAUUUACAACAUUAGCAUUGAAAAGAGCAAAGUUGAUGCUUGAGAUGAUAUUGUUUUUACUGAAGAGGAUGUAUGUCCUCCCUUUGUCCUUUAUCCCCUUACUCUUUCUUUUUAGGUGUGAUUACGACUACCAGCAUGGACCUCAACACCUUCUUUGCUGUUCCACUAGUGUGACCCAUGAUCGGAUACAAGUUGUCAAGGAUAAACGGGAAGAGAAUCAUGUCAGCCCACAGACAACCGGUUGACCUGUGAGUCUUCAAGCAGUAAUGAUGACUACUCCUGCCUUAAGUUCCAGUUUCCUGGACAUCAUGUCGGCAUGAGAUUCUGUCCCCACCUGUCUUCAGUCUGGACCCAAUGAGUUUUUUUUUUUUUACAGUGCGUUUACAGUCACAUGGUUUUUUUCGAGGCUUUGUCUGAGUUUCAGUGCUGUUAUUUACCAUUCAGGGUUGUUCAGAAACAUUCAAUUUGUCAUUCUCAUUUGAAGGGCUUGCUGCUGUGAUUCUUUUGUGUACACCAGGAUUUCUUUGUAUUUUGGCAUUUUACACAAAUGUGUUUGAAAGAUGGUCAACAAAGUUGCACAAAUAAAUGUUUAACUGCU